AUUUGGUUCAAAGGGCUUGGUGUCUAGUAGGUCGGAUAGUGCCCGGAAUCUAGGACCGUCUAUAGGUUGUCUUUUAGUUGUUGUGGGAUUAUCUAGACGCUGUAUGCCUCUGAGUAUAUUCUUCACGGGGUAAGAGCACAUAAAUGGUUUGAUGCUAGGAUAGGCACUUAAUAUAUGGUGUUGUAUACCAGUGAUGUAGAGUUUUAUGGUGUUUAGGGAGAGUUUUAGGUGAGGGUGGCAAAAGGAUAUAAAUGCUACUUUGGAAUCCAGAGAAUGUACAUCUGCAACUUGAUCUUCAGACAUAAAUUUGCUAUGAUUUGAAGGUGUUGACUGAAAGUGCAGCACUAGCCAGGAACCUGUUGUGCGCCAUUAAGCUGGUCAGUCCAGGAUUAGGUCUUGAAACGAGGGGGUGGGCACUGGCGUUUUGACGGCCAACGGGUGGGCUUCUAAAAAUAUCUGAAAU